CCUUGACCUCAAAUCGGGUGAGACUACCCGCUGAACUUAAG
rnacentral:rRNA from 2 species